GACGAACGCUGGCGGCGUGCUUAACACAUGCAAGUCGAACGGAGUGGCACACGGGAGCGUAUUACGUGAGUAACCUGCACUCAACUGUGGGAUAAGCCUGGAAAACGGGGUCUAAUGCUACAUAGUGGGGGAUGGGCUCGCGGCCUAUCAGCUUGUUGGUGGGGUGAUGGCCUACCAAGGCGGUGACGGGUAGCCGGCCUGAGAGGGUGAUCGGCCACAUUGGGACUGAGAUACGGCCCAGGGUCCUACGGGAGGCAGCAGUGGGGGAUAUUGCACAAUGGGCGCAAGCCUGAUGCAGCGACGCCGCGUGGGGGAUGAAGGCUUUCGGGUUGUAAACCUCGUUCGGUACAGGUCGGGUAUGUGCAGAAGAAGCGCCGGCUAACUACGUGCCAGCAGCCGCGGUAAUUC
rnacentral:rRNA from 1 species